UACGGAGGGGGCAAGCGUUGUUCGGAAUUAUUGGGCGUAAAGCGCGCGUAGGCGGUUAUCUAAGUCGGAUGUGAAAGCCCUCGGCUUAACUGAGGAAGUGCACCCGAAACUGGAUAGCUAGAGUACGAAAGAGGGUCGCGGAAUUCCCGGUGUAGAGGUGAAAUUCGUAGAUAUCGGGAGGAACACCGGUGGCGAAGGCGGCGACCUGGGUCGAGACUGACGCUGAGGCGCGAAAGCGUGGGGAGCGAACAGG
rnacentral:rRNA from 1 species